UGCCAGCAGCCGCGGUAAUACAGAGGGUGCGAGCGUUAAUCGGAAUUACUGGGCGUAAAGGGCGCGUAGGUGGUUUGGUAAGUCGGAUGUGAAAGCCCCGGGCUCAACUUGGGAAUUGCAUUCGAUACUGCCAGGCUAGAGUGUGGUAGAGGGAAGCGGAAUUCCCGGUGUAGCGGUGAAAUGCGUAGAUAUCGGGAGGAACAUCAGUGGCGAAGGCGGCUUCCUGGACCAACACUGACACUGAGGCGCGAAAGCGUGGGGAGCAAACAGGAUUAGAUA
rnacentral:rRNA from 1 species